GAAAUGCGAUAAGUAAUGUGAAUUGCAGAAUUCAGUGAAUCAUCGAGUUUUUGAACGCACCUUGCGCUCCUUGGUAUUCCGAGGAGCAUGCCUGUUUGAGUGUCAGUAUAUAUUCUCAAAAGCAUUUACUUGCUUUUGGAGUUGGAGGUUGCAGGCUACGUUGUUUGUAGUCAGCUCCUCUUAAAAGAAUAGCUCGAGUGAGCCUUUCAUUUGGUGUGAUAAUUAUCUAUGCUAAGUGGAUGGUGCAAGUAACUUGAGUCCUUUAGUCAGGUUGUGCUGUCAUUGUUUUAAAUGACUGUCCCUCCUCUAUUUGAUACUCUUGACCUCAAAUCAGGUAGGACUACCCGCUGAACUUAA
rnacentral:rRNA from 1 species